GGUGAGAUGGCCGAGCGGUCUAAGGCGCCAGACUAAGGAGGAUCAGGGCACGUGGUGUCCAAAAAAUCUGGUCCGAAAGGGCGUGGGUUCGAAUCCCACUCUCAUCA